AAUGUGCCUUCGGGAACCGUGAGACAGGUGCUGCAUGGCUGUCGUCAGCUCGUGUUGUGAAAUGUUGGGUUAAGUCCCGCAACGAGCGCAACCCUUAUCCUUUGUUGCCAGCGAUUCGGUCGGGAACUCAAAGGAGACUGCCAGUGAUAAACUGGAGGAAGGUGGGGAUGACGUCAAGUCAUCAUGGCCCUUACGACCAGGGCUACACACGUGCUACAAUGGCGCAUACAAAGAGAAGCGACCUCGCGAGAGCAAGCGGACCUCAUAAAGUGCGUCGUAGUCCGGAUUGGAGUCUGCAACUCGACUCCAUGAAGUCGGAAUCGCUAGUAAUCGUGGAUCAGAAUGCCACGGUGAAUACGUUCCCGGGCCUUGUACACACCGCCCGUCACACCAUGGGAGUGGGUUGCAAAAGAAGUAGGUAGCUUAACCUUCGGGAGGGCGCUUACCACUUUGUGAUUCAUGACUGGGGUGAAGUCGUAACAAGGUAACCGUAGGGGAACCUGCGGUUGGAUCACCUCCUUACCUUAAAGAAGC
rnacentral:rRNA from 1 species